rnacentral:lncRNA from 1 species
UGGGGGAGAUACACAAACAUUCAAACCACAGCACUCAAUUAAUUAAUUAUGUCAAGUUAUCAUAGUUACUUGACUCAGGUGUUUUUGGGACUGCAGGCAGGGAGGAAGCAAGGCUUAGAAGAGUCAUCUACCACUCUCAAAAAUAAUACUGCUCGUCAGGAAGAGGAAAGUUCUUCUGGGAAGCAUCUGGCUAAUCUUUUUGGAAAGGUUCUGAGGAAAUUCUUAAAGAGGACCUAUUAUGCAAUCCUGGCUACAAUGCUGUAGACGUUCCUGUAAGGGUUCCUGUGGUUUCUAAUGUACAAAGAUGGACAAUUCCUCAGAUGGCCUCAGGAGACUGCUUUUCGAUCUGCACUGGGCAGAACCCUGGGAUUAAUUAACAAGGUGAGUGAUAUCUAUCACUUUUGGAUUCCAAGGAAGGAAAGACAAAGUGGUAUGAGGGCCCUUACAACACUUAAAAACGACAAGGGUACUUAGGUGGAGAGGAGCUGUUUUUUUUCCUGGUCUUUGUGACCAGGAUUGACACUC